rnacentral:rRNA from 1 species
AGAGUUCGAUCCUGGCUCAGGACUAACGCUGGCGGUGCGCCUAACACAUGCAAGUCGUACGAGCCCUUCGGGGUUAGUGGCAGACGGGUGAGUAACGCGUAGGUAAUGUACCUCUUCGCUGGGGAUACCUAUCCGAAAGGAUAGCUAAUACCGAAUGAACUUAUCGAACGGCAUCGUUUGAUUCGUAAACCUUUUGGGCGAAGAGAUCAGCUUGCGUACUAUCAGCUAGUAGGUGGGGUAACGGCCUACCUAGGCGACGACGGUUAGCCGGUCUGAGAGGAUGAUCGGCCACAUUGGAACUGAAACACGGUCCAGACUCCUACGGGAGGCAGCAGUGAGGAAUCUUGCGCAAUGGGCGAAAGCCUGACGCAGCGACACCGCGUGAGGGAUGAAGGUCUUCGGAUUGUAAACCUUUGUCAGUGGGGACGAGAACGGACGGUACCUACUGAGGAAGCAUCGGCUUACUACGUGCCAGCAGCCGCGGUAAUACGUAGGAUGCAAGCGUUGUCCGGAAUUACUGGGCGUAAAGAGCUCGUAGGCGGGAAGGUACGUUUGGAAGUAAAUCUCACGGCUCAACUGUGAGCUCAUUCCGAAUACGGCUUUUCUUGAGGGCAGCAGGGGAGAAUGGAAUUCCCAGUGUAGCGGUGAAAUGCGUAGAUAUUGGGAAGAAUACCGGUGGCGAAGGCGAUUCUCUGGGCUGUGACUGACGCUGAGGAGCGAAAGCGUGGGUAGCGAACGGGAUUAGAUACCCCGGUAGUCCACGCUGUAAACGAUGGAUGCUAGACGUGUGGGGUAUCGACCCCCUGCGUGUCGCAGCUAACGCAUUAAGCAUCCCGCCUGAGGAGUACGGCCGCAAGGUUAAAACUCAAAGGAAUUGACGGGGGCCCGCACAAGUGGUGGAGCAUGUGGUUUAAUUCGACGCUACGCGAAGAACCUUACCUGGGUUUGACAUUCACAGGAAGAAUGCAGAGAUGUAUUUGCCUUCGGG